rnacentral:lncRNA from 1 species
UACAAUUUGAUGACCAUUAGAUGUUUUUACAAAAUAGUUAAUUUGCUCGAAAUUGUUAUAUCAAUGGUUGGAUUUUCUAGAUUUUAUUGUUUUGAAAGAUUGAGCUUCCGGCAGUGUAUGUAUCCUAAUAUUUAAGAUCGUAUUUCUGCUCUAGUCAUUUAAUAUAUCUUGUUUAUACUGCAGGGUUCUAGUACUAAUGAUAGGAUGCAUAAUAUAAAUUAGUAAAUGGUUAGUGGAGGAUUGUUAUUUAGAGAAGCAGAUUAGAGCCU